rnacentral:rRNA from 1 species
UCCUUCGGGAGCGAUUAAAGUGGCGCACGGGUGAGUAACGCGUAGACAAUCUGCCCUUCAGUCUGGGACAACUUUUCGAAAGGAGAGCUAAUACCGGAUAACAAUGUUUAACCUAAGUUAAGUAUUUGAAAGCUUUAUGUGCUGAAGGAGGGGUCUGCGUCCCAUUAGCUAGUUGGUAAGGUAAAGGCUUACCAAGGCGACGAUGGGUAGCGGGUUUGAGAGGACGAUCCGCCACACUGGAACUGAGACACGGUCCAGACUCCUACGGGAGGCAGCAGUGGGGAAUAUUGCACAAUGGAGGCAACUCUGAUGCAGCAAUGUCGCGUGAGUGAAGAAGGCCCUUGGGUCGUAAAGCUCUUUUAUGGGGGAAGAUGAUGACGGUACCCCAAGAAUAAGCACCGGCUAACUAUGUGCCAGCAGCCGCGGUAAUACAUAGGGUGCGAGCGUUGUUCGGAAUUACUGGGCGUAAAGGGCGCGCAGGCGGGAUAGUAAGUCGGAGGUGAAAGCCCGGGGCUCAACCCCGGAGGGUCUUUCGAAACUGCUAAUCUAGAGAGGGUCAGGGGCCGGCAGAAUUCCUGGUGUAGAGGUGAAAUUCGUAGAUAUCAGGAGGAAUACCGGUGGCGAAGGCGGCCGGCUGGGGCCACUCUGACGCUGAGGCGCGAAAGCGUGG